CCAGGAGACAACCGAUAGCGUGUUUCCAAGACUCCUGGUUUUGUCAAGAGCACUGCAAAGCAGUCCUUGCCAUGCGCACAGCAUGUGCACGCAUCCAGCCCAUGGAGUUCUACUCAUACUCUUCAGGCAUUGCCAGCUAUCUCUGCUGCUUGUCUGGAGCAUCUCUUCUGGUACCUGUGGCCUCCUGGCAAUGUCACCUUAGGCAGUGAUGCUGAGCCCACGGUGAUGCUCUCACCUUUGCCAAGGACCAGGUGACCUCAUCGUCGCUGCUGUCC
rnacentral:lncRNA from 1 species